rnacentral:rRNA from 1 species
AGAGUUUGAUCAUGGCUCAGGACGAACGCUGGCGGCGUGCCUAAUACAUGCAAGUCGAGCGAAGAAUAGGUUUCAAAUCUUCGGAUGCGAGUCUUCGGAUGCGAGACCUAUUACUUAGCGGCGAACGGGUGAGUAACGCGUGGGCAACCUGCCCCCUAGACCGGGAUAACAGCUCGAAAGGGCUGCUAAUACCGGAUACGCCUCAUGUGCUGCAUGGCAUAUGAGGGAAAGCGCUUUAGCGCUGGGGGAUGGGCCCGCGUCCCAUUAGCUAGUUGGUGAGGUAACGGCUCACCAAGGCGACGAUGGGUAGCCGGCCUGAGAGGGUGGACGGCCACACUGGGACUGAGACACGGCCCAGACUCCUACGGGAGGCAGCAGUAGGGAAUAUUGCGCAAUGGGGGGAACCCUGACGCAGCGACGCCGCGUGAGCGAUGAAGGCCUUCGGGUCGUAAAGCUCUGUCCUAUGGGACGACGAGGACGGUACCAUAGGAGGAAGCCCCGGCUAACUACGUGCCAGCAGCCGCGGUAAUACGUAGGGGGCGAGCGUUGUCCGGAAUUACUGGGCGUAAAGGGUGCGUAGGCGGAUACGCAAGUCCGAUGUGAAAUGCCUCGGCUUAACCGAGGAGCUGCAUUGGAAACUGUGUAUCUAGAGUGCAGGAGAGGGAAGCGGAAUUCCUAGUGUAGCGGUGAAAU